UAAAUAGCCAGGUUGACUUUUGUCGGCCGCCGGCUUCUUAGAGGGACUUUUGGCUUAAGCCAAUGGAAGUACGAGGCAAUAACAGGUCUGUGAUGCCCUUAGAUGUUCUGGGUAAGUUCUAU
rnacentral:rRNA from 1 species